rnacentral:lncRNA from 1 species
CACGACACUUUAAUUAGCAAGGAGAGGAUGGACCGGAGCUGCAAGAGUGUGAGUAAAGUGGAUCGCCGGCGGUGGCGGUGUACUGACGGCGCGACGGCGGCGUCGUGGACGUCGGGGUGGGUGGCCAGGACGUCCUCCAGCUCGGCCGGAGCCACCUGGUAGCCCUUGUACUUGAUCAUCUCCUUCAGCCGGUCGACCACGUAGACGAGGCCACGCGAGUCCACGUAGCACAGGUUAGUAAGGGCCAGGGCCGUCGCCGUCUCGUUGUUCAGGUAGCCUCGCAUGACGGAGGGGCUCCGGACCCAGAGCUCGCCGGUGCGGUGGGGCGGGAGGGCCUCGCCGGAGUCCGGGUCCACGAUCUUGGCCUCCACUUCCGGCAUCAGCCGCCCGAUCGAGACAACGGCGGUGGCCCCGCGGUUGCUGCUUAUCUCCGCCGCCGCUGCAGCGGCAUCGUUCAUCUCCGUCGACGGGCGCGCUUCCACCCCGCCCCCGUCGACGCCGCGGCGGUCGUCGUCGGGCAGAUCGGACAUGGUGACACAGCCCGUGGACUCCGUUAGCCCGUAGCACUGCACGUAUACGUACAUGUAGCAUGUACGAUAUAUAUAUUAAUACACAUAUAUUAUAUUUAUUACUAUCUCCGUUUCAUAACCUAAGAUGUUUGAUUUUUUUACGACGUUUGACCAUUCGUCUCAUUUAAAAAUUUAGUUACAAAUAUAAAAAAUAAUAAGUCAUGCUUAAAGUUUUUUUAUAAUAAAGUAAGUCACAAGCAAAAUAAAUGAUAUUUUUAUAUGUUUUUAAUAAGAUGAAUGAUCAAACUUUACCAGAAAAAAAUCAAAUAUCUUAUAUUAUCAAACGAAGUGAGUACUUUUUAACUUGCAGUAUACGGGUAUUUGCUUCGACUUGUGCAACUGUUGUUUCUAGAGUAACUCGAAUAGUAGUACGACGAUCCGUACAGAUUAUAUGGCUAACAUCAUUAUAAUUUUAUUUUAUAUCUAAUAGACAUAGUUUCACAUUUUUAUAUAAAAAUACUUACAGUAAUAUAAUUUUAAACGCCAACGUAACUUGUUUUACUUAUACAUUUGAUAUUCUAUUUCAUAUAGUAAUGCAUAUUCCGUUUCAUGUCGUAAAACGUUCUUGUUAUAUCUCGAUCCAUUUAUUGAUAGAUAUAUAUUGUUUAGAUAUACCCUUUUCGGUUGUUUUACGCCAUUGACUUUUUUAUUUACGUUUGAUCAUUCGUCUUAUUCAAAAAUUUUAUCCAAAUAUAUAAAAUUAUAAAUCGUAAUUAAAGUUACUUUAGUAAUAAAUCAAAUCAUAAUAAAAUAGUCAAUAAUUAUAUAGAUUUUUUGAAUAAGACGAAGGGUCAGAUUUAUAUAAAAAAUUAACGGUGUCAAACAAAAUCGGAGGGAGUAUCUUUGAAUUUAUUAAUAUUUAUAUAAAUUUAGGCAAUACUAAAUAGCCUAUGUGGUCAGCGCAUAGCAUCAUGAAGAUGACCAUGAAUUAGGGUUACAGGCGUUUCCGCGUUCCCAAAACUCAGAGCAGCAGAGAACAACACCUUGAUCUUGAUACUUCAAUUACCAGGCACAUUCAUCAUAUGCUCAGCGCACAGAGGUGAACAGACAUCGCCUUACCCAAGAUUUUAUCACAUUUGCUUGGAGCAAGAUGCAACUGUCAGAGAACUGUCAAUGAGGGGACCUGGAAUCCUAGAUAGAUUUAGAAGAAACCUCCACUAUUAAAUCGAUGUAUAGAUUAAUUAAUAAAGUUUGGGGGCUGGGUUGUGGAUAAGGAGAUUCAAGAGAUUUGGGGAG